AAAUAAAUUGUAUCAAUUUCUUAUAUGUUGUUAUUGGCAAUUGGGAUUAGGAAAGGUAUCAUCAUUUUGAGUGCGGUCGGACCACCAUUGCAUUUGAUGUCUUACUUUUGGUCUACGCACCACCGCAUGUUCAGGGGACAGACGUUUAAAGUACUUUGAACCAGGAACGGACUGGGACCUGAAAUCAGUUUAAAGUACUUUGAACCAGGAACGGACUGGGACCUGAAAUCAGUUUAAAGUACUUUGAACCAGGAACAGACUGGGACCAGAAAUCAGUUUAAAGUACUUUGAACCAGGAACGGACUGGGACCUGAAAUCAGUUUAAAGUACUUUGAACCAGGAACAGACAGGACCAGAAAUCAGUUUAAAGUACUUUGAACCAGGAACGGACUGGGACCAGAAAUCAGUUUAAAGUACUUUGAACCAGGAACAGACUGGGACCAGAAAUCAGUUUAAAAUACUUUGAACCAGGAACAGACUGGGACCAGAAAUCAGUUUAAAGUACUUUGAACCAGGAACGGACUGGGACCAGAAAUCAGUUUAAAGAACUUUGAACCAGGAACGGACUGGGACCAGAAAUCGGCCCAGGAAUUUCUUACCCACCAGACAAUUUGUUUCCUUGAGGACCAUAUCAUUAACCAAAUAAUGAUGCAACUCACCCCACUGGGCUAAAGAUGGACCCGUCCUUUUCUGUUUGGAACUGUUGCUGUGUGUUGUUGCAGGUCCAGGUAAGGAGGAGUGUAUCCAGUGUGCCAGAGAUCACCUGCAGCAAGAGUGGAGGUGUGUUCAGACCUGCGCCCCAGGAUACUACUCAACAGAGGAUGCUGGCUACAACCAGGGGAUGUGUCACAAGUGUGAGGAGAAUUGCCUGAGUUGCGACGGCCCCGGGACGACCUGCGUCAAGUGCAAAGACAGCUACAACCUCGUCAGCAGGAUGUGCAUCGUGAACGCCACCUGUAACAAUGCCGACGAGGUGUUUUGUGAGAUGGUAAAAUCCAACCGGCUGUGUGAGAAGAAGCUGUUCCGCCAGUUCUGCUGCAGAACCUGUCUGAUGACCGGUUGAGAAUCCUAGUAGAGAACCUGAAGAGUGGAACCUGGAGAGGAACCCUGCGUGGAACCCACCACUUCCUCGUCCACUGUACAUUUCCAAACUAGUUAAUGUCUGUGUCUGAAUGAAAAGAAAGAGUGAAUAGGCCUUCACCAGGGUUGGGGUCAAUUCCAUUUUCCUCAAUGCAUUCCUGAAUCCACUGAAUUGAAAUGGAAUUGACCCCAACCCGGAACACACACUAUUCCUCCAUUCAAAUUUUACCCCGCAAAGGGUAGACUUGAUUUUCAUACGAUACAUACAGUAUUUUAAAGUUGUCUUUUUUAUUUAAAAAACAACAUACAUGUAACAUGUAUAUUUUGUAUUCUAAUGCUGCAUUGUUGUAAAGUACAGUACUUUUUACAAUGACACGUUAGUGGAUAACUCUCUGAUUGAACCACUGUGUUCUGGAAGUGAAGCUGGUUGAUAAACCAACAGCAUCACUCAAAAUGGGGAUGGUAUUUAUAAGGCACCAAGUGGAAUAAGACAAACUGAAACAUGAAGGGACUACUUGAACGUUUCUGUUUUCUGUUGUGUCCUACCGAAUACGACCCUGAUCAACUUUUUCAUACAAACUUCCUCACAAAAAAAAUGUUUAUACUGUAUAAGGCUUUUAGUUUUUUUAUAAAGAAAUAUGUAAAACAAUGAAUUACUGUAAUUGUAUUUACAUUUUAGCAGACACUAUUAUUCAGAAUGACUUACAGUAGUGAGUGCAUACAUUUUCAUGUACUGGUCCCCGUGGGAAUCACACCCACAACCCUGGCGUUGCAAGCGCCAUGCUCUACCAACUGAGGUACACGGGACUAUUACUGAAUACUUUACAAUUCCUGUAUACUGUACCAUUUACAAUGCUGUUGUACAUUUUAGAAUGUGUAUUUGAUGUUUUUAUCGUUUGUUUUUAUGAAUGAAAUAAAAUACGUACAUUGUGUAUGA